rnacentral:rRNA from 1 species
GCACAUGCUGUGAGCUCGAUGAGUAGGGCGGGACACGUGGUAUCCUGUCUGAAUAUGGGGGGACCAUCCUCCAAGGCUAAAUACUCCUGACUGACCGAUAGUGAACCAGUACCGUGAGGGAAAGGCGAAAAGAACCCCGGCGAGGGGAGUGAAAAAGAACCUGAAACCGUGUACGUACAAGCAGUGGGAGCACAGAGCAAUCUGUGUGACUGCGUACCUUUUGUAUAAUGGGUCAGCGACUUAUAUUCUGUAGCAAGGUUAACCGAAUAGGGGAGCCGAAGGGAAACCGAGUCUUAACCGGGCGUUAAGUUGCAGGGUAUAGACCCGAAACCCGGUGAUCUAGCCAUGGGCAGGUUGAAGGUUGGGUAACACUAACUGGAGGACCGAACCGACUAAUGUUGAAAAAUUAGCGGAUGACUUGUGGCUGGGGGUGAAAGGCCAAUCAAACCGGGAGAUAGCUGGUUCUCCCCGAAAGCUAUUUAGGUAGCGCCUCGUGAAUUCAUCUCCGGGGGUAGAGCACUGUUUCGGCAAGGGGGUCAUCCCGACUUACCAACCCGAUGCAAACUGCGAAUACCGGAGAAUGUUAUCACGGGAGACACACGGCGGGUGCUAACGUCCGUCGUGAAGAGGGAAACAACCCAGACCGCCAGCUAAGGUCCCAAAGUCAUGGUUAAGUGGGAAACGAUGUGGGAAGGCCCAGACAGCCAGGAUGUUGGCUUAGAAGCAGCCAUCAUUUAAAGAAAGCGUAAUAGCUCACUGGUCGAGUCGGCCUGCGCGGAAGAUGUAACGGGGCUAAACCAUGCACCGAAGCUGCGGCAGCGACACUGUGUGUUGUUGGGUAGGGGAGCGU